ACUCAGAGCCUUUGUUACACUCCUUAUGACUCACACUUAGUAAUGCUCACCCAAUUACCUUUGCUAGUAUAUCUUCAUCUUGUUAAAGUGUUUGAGAAAUGCUUUGGAGAUUCUAAUAAGUUCAAAUGAGCAUUAAAAAUGAGAGAGAGUAGAAGUAUCUCUUGAGAAAGAUUAAAAAGUGAGCACAGGCUGGGUGCAGUGGGUCAUGCCUGUAGUCUCAGCACUUUGGGAGGUCGAGGUAGGCAGACUGCUGGAGCUCAGGAGUUUGAGACCAGCCUGGACAACAUGGAAAAAUCCCGCUUCUACAAAAGGACUGUUUUCUAUUUGAUUGGGAAGUGUUAGAAUGGCAACAGUGACAAAUCCUGUGGCAAAUCUUCGUGCAAAGGUCUUUAGUGUUUCUUUAAUUUCAUAUAUAUUACCUACUAUGUGACAAGCACACUGUGCCAAGUUCCAAAUAUAAAAGAGUAAAUUAAGGAAUGCAUUAUAGCUGUUAAAGCAAUCUUAAGGGAAAUCCGAAGCUUCCACUGCAGCACCAUGCUUAGUAAGUAAUAAAUUACAUGUUAUAGUUAUUUGCCUUAAUUCAUGCUAAUUUUGUCCAAUUAAUGUAUCACAGUAAUUCAGAAGCCUGUCACAGGAGAGCUAAUUAUUUAUUGGAUUUUUGUGUUCAGCUCCCUAGGAGUCUACUAGCAAACAAACUUGCGACUGUCUUUCUCUCAAGUCCAUAGUGACAUUCUUAGGUCUCACUGUAGGGAAGUAAAAUUUUUGCUUCUGUUUCUAGUUUUAAAAAUGAAUUUUGGGGUAUCUAAGGCCUGUUCUUGGUUUUUUGAUUGAUGAAAUAGUUUGACAGCCUGCUGUUCUGUUAGGACAAGACCUACUUUCUUCCCUAUCAAACUAUUUCAUCUUAUGAAUCUGUAUAUUUCGGAACUCUCAUUAAGGAAAAAGACAGUUUUUAAAAAACUAUGCACCCAAGGUGAAUCGAAAAAGUGCAGCAAUUAUCUGGAUAAUUCACACCAGAAUUCCCCACUUAUAUUCCUUUUAUUAUUUUCAGAGCACUUCAACAGAUUGUGUAGAUACCUGUGUUCACCUCAUCUGCACAGUCUUGGUUCUAAACCUAAAAAAAGGCCACAUGCAAUAUGCUAAAAUGUUGUUUGAAAAAAGACUGAAUCUAACUCACAAUGACAAUUGAUAUCAGCUUUGUAAAAGUAGAUUUUUAUUUUACUGUGGUGCACUGCUAAUUCACAGGCCCCCAAAUGAAUUAUUUAUGAGAUUAAUUUGUUCAAUUCAUACCUAUAAAUAAUGUCACAGUUGCUAAAUAAUUUGCACACUUUGAUAAGAUGCAGAGAUCAGAGUCAAAGAGGCAGCGCUUCGCCAGCUGAAAAAUGUUCACUAUCUUCUGGAAUCCUGACAAACCCAGGCAUUUGCAGACAGUUAUUUGUAGAGAGUAGGAAGCAUCUGAUCUCCUGUUUUGCUCCCUCCUAUGAGUAUCAGGAGACACUUGUCUGCUGAUUAUCAUCUUCCAGCCAAAUGAAAAAGAGGUGAUACCUCUUUAAAUCCAUGAUGCAAUAAUGUUUACCAGCAAGUCCUAUCACAGUGAUCCAAGGUGACAGUAGGUAAAGCACACCACUGUUUGUGCCACACACAGAAAAACUUUACAACCCUCUUUAAUUUGAUGGGAGGAGGAAAUGACAUCUUUGUACCCAGCCACUUUAUACUAGCUUGUUUGCCUUUAACCAAUUGAGUAUCUGAGAAGCAGCACACUUCUCCAAGCUAUGUACAACUUUAUACUUCAAUGCAUGAUUACUUCAAAGGAAACUGCCACCACAUACUGUAUAAUGUUAUUUUUCCUUCCUCUCAGUUGUUUUUAUUACCCAUUCAAAACUGGAAAUAAAAAUUAUUUUCUUACCAAUUAGCUGUCUUCUCCAUAUGGCACUGAGGUUUCAA